GUUAGUCUAGAAUGUGGGAGAGGUAGAUGGAAUUUCUGGUGUAGGGGUAAAAUCCGUAGAGAUCAGAAGGAAUACCGAUUGCGAAGGCGAUCUACUAGAACAUAAUUGACGCUGAGAUGCGAAAGCGUGGGGAGCAAACAGGAUUAGAUACCCUGGUAGUCCACGCCCUAAACGAUGUACACUAGUUGUUGUGAGACUAGAUCUUGCAGUAAUGCAGUUAACACAUUAAGUGUACCGCCUGGGGAGUACGGUCGCAAGAUUAAAACUCAAAGGAAUAGACGGGGACCCGCACAAGCGGUGGAGCAUGUGGUUUAAUUCGACGAUACACGAAGAACCUUACCUGGACUUGACAUAGUAAGAAUGAUUUAGAGAUAGAUUAGUGUCUGCUUGCAGAAACUUGCAUACAGGUGCUGCACGGCUGUCGUCAGCUCGUGUCGUGAGAUGUUGGGUUAAGUCCCGCAACGAGCGCAACCCUCGUCCUUAGUUGCUAACAGUUAGGCUGAGAACUCUAAGGAGACUGCCUGCGUAAGUAGGAGGAAGGUGAGGAUGACGUCAAGUCAUCAUGGCCCUUACGUCCAGGGCUACACACGUGCUACAAUGGGGUAUACAAAGAGCAGCGAUACGGUGACGUGGAGCAAAUCUUAUAAAAUACCUCCCAGUUCGGAUUGUAGUCUGCAACUCGACUACAUGAAGUUGGAAUCGCUAGUAAUCGUAGAUCAGCUAUGCUACGGUGAAUACGUUCCCGGGUCUUGUACUCACCGCCCGUCACACCAUGGGAGUUGAACUCAUUCGAAGCGGGGAUGCUAAAGUAGCUACCUUCCACAGUGGAUUCAGCGACUGGGGUGAAGUCGUAACAAGGUA
rnacentral:rRNA from 1 species